rnacentral:rRNA from 1 species
CCUACGGGGGGCAGCAGUGGGGAAUCUUGCGCAAUGGGCGAAAGCCUGACGCAGCGACGCCGCGUGAGGGAUGAAGGUCUUCGGAUCGUAAACCUCUGUCAGCAGGGAAGAACGGUCACUGUGCUAAUCAGCCAUGAAUUGACGGUACCUGCAAAGGAAGCACCGGCUAACUCCGUGCCAGCAGCCGCGGUAAUACGGAGGGUGCGAGCGUUAAUCGGAAUUAUUGGGCGUAAAGCGCUCGUAGGCGGUAUGUCAAGUCAAGGGUGAAAUCCCCGCGCUAAACGUGGGAACUGCCUUUGAAACUGGGAAACUGGAGUGUGUGAGAGGAGAGUGGAACUCCAGGUGUAGGAGUGAAAUGCGUAGAUAUAUGGAGGAACAUCAGUGGCGAAGGCGACUAUCUGGCACAUAACUGACGCUGAGGAGCGAAAGCGUGGGUAGCAAACAGGAUUAGAUACCCCUGUAGUC